UACGGAGGAUGCGAGCGUUAUCCGGAUUUAUUGGGUUUAAAGGGUGCGUAGGCGGACGCUUAAGUCAGCGGUAAAAUUGCGGGGCUCAACCUCGUCGAGCCGUUGAAACUGGGUGCCUUGAGUGGGCGAGAAGUACGCGGAAUGCGUGGUGUAGCGGUGAAAUGCAUAGAUAUUACGCAGAACUCCGAUUGCGAAGGCAGCGUACCGGCGCCCAACUGACGCUGAAGCACGAAGGCGUGGGUAUCGAACAGG
rnacentral:rRNA from 1 species